rnacentral:rRNA from 1 species
AGCGAACGCUGGCGGCAGGCCUAACACAUGCAAGUCGAACGGAUCCUUCGGGAUUAGUGGCGGACGGGUGAGUAACACGUGGGAACGUGCCUUUUGGUUCGGAACAACUCAGGGAAACUUGAGCUAAUACCGAAUGUGCCCUUCGGGGGAAAGAUUUAUCGCCAUUAGAGCGGCCCGCGUCUGAUCAGCUUGUUGGUGAGGUAAUGGCUCACCAAGGCGACGAUCAGUAGCUGGUCUGAGAGGAUGAUCAGCCACAUUGGGACCGAGACACGGCCCAAACUCCUACGGGAGGCAGCAGUGGGGAAUCUUGCGCAAUGGGCGAAAGCCUGACGCAGCCAUGCCGCGUGAAUGAUGAAGGUCUUAGGAUUGUAAAAUUCUUUCACCGGGGACGAUAAUGACGGUACCCGGAGAAGAAGCCCCGGCUAACUUCGUGCCAGCAGCCGCCGUAACAC